rnacentral:lncRNA from 1 species
CUGGGCUAGCUGGCAGACUCCAUCUAAAAGGAAGACAGUAUCGUUUACAUCUUCAAGCCUUUAGACUAAGAUUCAUAGUGUUUCUACUAUUGCUUUUGGGAUGAAACACUUUGAUUUCUAGAACAAACCUUACAGCUCAUUUGAACAUUCCACUCAGCUGAACGGAAUGUUUUGAGAUGAUGCUGUCAUUCGUUUUAUUUUGUUUUGGAAUAGAGUCUCAUACCAGCCUUGAGUUUGAGAGCCUCCUACCUCGGCCUCCCGAGUGCUGGGAUGACAGAUAUGCACCACCAUGCCUGGCUCACGUUAGGGUGUUUUUGGAAAUGCAGCAUAAUAUAAUACAGAAACAAACAGUCAAAUUUCAGUUCAGGUCUAAUACCAGCAACAUAAGAUUGCCAUUACAAGGCGUCAUUGUUCCUACACAGCCCCGUUGUUUCUGUUCUGUCUCCCAAGGCAGAGAGCACACGAAUGCCAACUUGGCCUCGGAUGCUGCAGGACAUGGGAGCAGAUGAAAUCAAUGCAAGCACUAUGGAAGCAGAAAGCCCAAGUAUUAUAACCAUUCAUCCAUUCUUAAGAUCCGUGCUGCACAGCCCAGAACAAUAUAAGAACAAUCAUCCCCAAUGGACUCACUCAUAUGGAACAAGAGGGAAGUCCCACUUAACCUCUUCCUGCC